rnacentral:rRNA from 1 species
UUACAAAAACAUGGCUCCCCGGGUAACAUGGGGAGUCGUGCCUUCCCGGUGAGUCUGCGGGCUUAAACGGACGCGGUAAAGCGUGCUAAGGUAGCUAAAUUAUGGCCUAUUAAUUGUAGGUCCUGUGAAUGGUUUGACGAGUCUUCAACUGUCUCUAGUUUUUUUGGUGAACUUGAAUUGGAUGUGCAAAUGCUUCCAUGGGUAAGAAAGACGAGAAGACCCCGUGAAGUUAGAAAUUUUGGUUGUUGGUGAGCUUUGUUGGGUGUAGGUUAGGCCACUUUAAGUGGUUUGAAAGAAAAGUGAACAGCGAUAGUUUUGGCUGGGGCAGCAAAGAAGCAAGGUUAGACUUCUUUAGUUUAAGGACAGGUGUGUGACGACCCACAAGUUUGUUGGUGUGAUUAGCAGAAGAAGUUACUCCGGGGAUAACAGCGUAAUCUGCCUUGAUAGUUCUUAUAGAUGGGCGGGUUUGCGACCUCGAUGUUGGCUCUGGAUAUCCUAAGGCUUGCAGGCGGUCUUUAGGGUUGGUUCGUUCGCCCAUGAAAAUCUGACGUGAUCUGAGU